AUGAACGCUGGCGGCAUGCCUAAGACAUGCAAGUCGUACGAAGGGGCCCAAUGAAAAGAAUUGAAAUUCAGAGUGCUUGCACAAAGAAUGGAUUUUCUUGGAUUUGGAUUUUCCCCUUAGUGGCAAGCGGGUGAGUAACACGUGGGUUACCUACCUCUAAGAUGGGGAUAACAGUUGGAAACGACUGAUAAUACCGAAUGUGCUCUACGGAGUAAAGAAGCCCUUAAAGCUUCGCUUAGAGAUGGGCCUGCGGCGUAUUAGCUAGUUGGUGGGGUAAUGGCCUACCAAGGCGACGAUGCGUAGCCGAACUGAGAGGUUGAUCGGCCACACUGGGACUGAGACACGGCCCAGACUCCUACGGGAGACAGCAGUUAGGAAUAUUCGUCAAUGGAGGAAACUCUGAACGAGCAAUGCCGCGUGAACGAUGACGGCCCUAUGGGUUGUAAAGUUCUGUUGUUUGGAAAGAACGAUAGAUAGAGGAAAUGCUAUCUAUGUGACGGUACCAUUCAAGAAAGCCACGGCUAACUACGUGCCAGCAGCCGCGGUAAUACGUAGGUGGCGAGCGUUAUCCGGAUUUAUUGGGCGUAAAGGGUGCGCAGACGGUUUAUUAAGUCUAAAAUCAAAUCUUGGGGCUCAACCCCAUUCCGUUUUAGAAACUGGUAGACUUGAGUAUGGUAGAGGCAAAUGGAAUUCCUAGUGUAGCGGUGGAAUGCGUAGAUAUUAGGAGGAACACCAGUGGCGAAGGCGGCCUACUGGGCACCAACUGACGCUGAGGCUCGAAAGUGUGGGUAGCAAACAGGAUUAGAUACCCUGGUAGUCCACGCCGUAAACGAUGAUUACUAGGUGUUGGUGGGUACGACCCAUCGGUGCCGCAGCAAACGCAAUAAGUAGUCCACCUGGGGAGUACGUUCGCAAGAAUGAAACUCAAAGGAAUUGACGGGCACCCGCACAAGCGGUGGAGCAUGCUGUUUAAUUCGAAAAUACGCGAAGAACCUUACCUAGGUUUGACAUCCCCGGCAAAGCUAUAGAAAUAUAGUGGAGGUUAUCCGGGUGACAGGUGGUGCAUGGUUGUCGUCAGCUCGUGUCGUGAGAUGUUUGGUUAAGUCCAACAACGAGCGCAACCCUCAUCAUUAGUUGCUAACAUUUAGUUGAGAACUCUAAUGAUACUGCCAGUGUAAGCUGGAGGAAGGUGGGGAUGAGGUCAAAUCAUCAUGCCCCUUACAUCUAGGGCUACAGGCGUGCUACAAUGGCCGGUACAACGAGUUGCAACACGGUGACGUGAAGCUAAUCUCUUAAAGCCGGUCCCAGUCCGGAUUGGAGUCUGCAAUUCGACUCCAUGAAGUUGGAAUCGCUAGUAAUCCCGAAUCAGAAUGUCGGGGUGAAUACGUUCCCGGGUGUUGUACACACCGCCCGUCACGCCAUGGGAGUCUGUAAUACUUGAAGUCGGUAGCCUAACCCGUAAGGGAGGGGGCCGCCCAGGGUAGGACAGGUGACUGGGGUG
rnacentral:rRNA from 1 species